rnacentral:rRNA from 1 species
CAUAAACAACAAUGGAUAUCUCCACUCUUGCAUCAAUGAAGAACAUAGCGAAAUAGGAUAUUUGGUUUGAAUUGCAUAAUCAAGUAAAUUAUCGAGUCUUUAAGCAUAAGUUGCGCUCGAAAUCAUUAGGCUGAGGGCACAUCAACCUGGACGUCA